UGCAUAUUGAUGUCUUAAAAAUAAAAAAGCACAAUUUAAAAAUAUGUUGUUGAAAAUAAAAUAAACACAUAUAAGUCAAUACAGGCUUGCAUGGCUGUCGGAAGCCCGUGUUGUGAAACGUCUUGCUUAACUGCUUUCAACGGGCGUGAACCUCUAAGCUAAAUUGCCGUAAUGUAAAAAUCUAUGAGAAUAUUAGAUCAUACAAUGGGAUAAAAAUAGUUUACUAUUGUUAAAACAACAAAGGAAGAAGGAGUAAGUCAAGUUUUAUGAGCUUAAUAUGUUGGGCUACACACGUGCUACAAUGGCAAAUACAGUGAAUUACAAAUAUGUGAAUAAGAGUCAAUUUUUAAAUUUAGCCCAAGUUCGAAUUAUUUCCUGAAACUUGGAAGUAUGAAGGCGGAAUUGCUAGUAAUCGCGGAUAAGAAUGCUGCGGUGAAUAGCUAACCGGUCUUUGUACACACCGCCCGUCACGCCAAGGAAGUUGGGCGCGUCCCAAGUAACAGAUGUUGCAGAGCGUUUAGACG
rnacentral:rRNA from 1 species